rnacentral:lncRNA from 1 species
UUGAUUUUAAUUUCGUUCUAUAGGUAUUUUGUUUGGAUUGUUCUGUUUUGAGAGAGAGAGAGAGAGAGAGAGAGAGAGAGAGAGAGGUAGGUUNNNNNNNNNNNNNNNNNNNNAGAGAGAGAGGAGGUUUUGCUUUUGGGAGGUGAGGAAUGCUCAUAUGCCUAUAUGGGGUUUUGCUCAAAUGCUCUGUUGUAUGUUGUGUGUUUCUCUCUUUUAUAUUUUUUUGAGCCUGGGAAAUUUUUACGGGGCUUUAUAUGGUGAGGAUUCUUCUUUCUCUUCCCAUUGUGUUUUAUAUAUGGGUAGGAUGUUGUAGUUCUUCUUUCUCUCCUCAUUUAAUUUUCUUGGUUCUCUCACAAUCCCACCACGCAGCAUUCUUUGUCUUGCUUCACUGUGUUUGUCUCUUUUAUGUUCUUUGUAUUUGAUUUUGACUAAUUGUUUGAUGUGCAGGUCCAAGCAAGAGUAGCAAUAGUAGUCACGACAAGAAUCAAAAGUUUUGAAGGUUUAAUUUAAGGGUGAGGCUCUUUCUUUGUACCAAUUAUCUUUUGGUUUACAUUGGUGUUCUAUUUAUGUAGAAUAUAUUAGAAAUCUGGUCAAAGGCUUUCUGGUUAUGGUGAUUUAAAAGAUAUUAGAGUUGUUGUUUUUUUGUGUCUCGGUGAGUUGAAACACAUCAUGUGUGAUCAUUGAUAUAAUACUUGAAUAAAUAAGGCAGUAGAUUGACAUUACACUAUCAUAGAAGUGGUAUUAUUUGGGAAGUUGUUUGUGUGUGAAUUGCUCUCAUUGGUACUUACUUGCUGCUUGAUCUUCAUAAUGUUCUGAAAUUGGUACUUUUUAUUUUGUAUAUAUGGUGUCGGUUUUGUAUUAGAAUGCUGAGUUUGGUCUCUAUUUUAAUAUGAAUUUUAAUUUUGAAUUGUUGCUAUAGACAUUGCAUAAAAUUAACUACCGAAGUGCUUCAAAUUCUAUUUUCUAUGAAUCUAUACAAAUAAGUAGAGAGAAUUGCAUAAAAUGUGUUUCACAUCUCUUUUAUGUAUGAUGGAUUCGCAAGAAAACUUAUCAAGAUCCUCAACUACUAGAAGUGGAAGAAAUCAUUUUUGACAUGGAGAUAUCAUUUUGCUUUGGUAGAGAUCACUUCUAUGUAGAGAUGUGGACGUCCGUAAAUGACAUGGCAGCCAUUCAUUGGCUCACUUGCCAAACUGAGAUGUGGUCCCGCCAUGUACAUCAUCUUCUCUAAUCUUCUUGAGAUAACCAUCCUUGAACAAUCUCUCAACCUAGUACUUUCUAUAUGCUUGAUAUAUUAAUCAUGAAUUGAUCAUUCUAAAAGUUGAAAGCUGGCAAAUAAGUGGUGGGAGAGAAUAGAUUUGGUGAAUGGCAGAUCAAAAUAUAUGCAAUUCUUCCGGCCAGAACUGCAACUCCAGAGACCACAGCCAUCGUCCAUCUUUGUUUCACCGCAGCAACAACAACAAAAACAACCUCAACCUUUUUUCGAUUCUCAACAGCAAGAAGUCUCCCAUAGAGGGAACUAAGAACACAAGAUCGAGUCUGACAUUGCCGCCACGAGUUUGGAAGCGGCAGCGGGAGUGGUGGGGGAUCAUGGCGUCGUCUUAGCGGUCGUCAGCAGGCCUCCAAGCCUUUGAUCGUUGUUGGAUUCACCAAACCAAUUUUUGGGUUUUUCUUUUUUGGGUUUGAUCAGAGUUUGAUUGAUUAUAAAAAAAAGAUUUUUCAUGGAUCAAUAUUAUACAAAGCGAUCAAUGAUCUAAAGCUUUCUUAUUUUUCUUCUUCUUUUAGAUUGAUUCAUAAUUAAUCAAGUGGAAGCAUAUGAACAAUGCGAAGGAUUGGGGUGGGAGAUUGUUCAAGGUUGAUAGAGAAGAUGAUUAAGUACAAAAGAGUAGAGAAGAUGAUCUACGUGGAGAAAGGACGUCUCAGUUUUGCAAGUGAACCAAUGAAUUAAUGGCUGCCACGGCAUUUCGUCCGUUUUUUUUCAAGAUACGAACCUCUGCAUCUGAAAAGCUCUAUAUAUAUAUAUAUAUAUACAAACACACACAAAAUUCCUAUCCAGAGCAUAGCCCCGCUUGGAAAUUAAAGUGUAGGCCUCUUUAUUUCGCUCAUUUACAUAUCAGAAUUUCAAAAUUUUCAAUGACUAGAACACAAUGUGUAGAUUAGAACACAAUGUGUAGAUCAUUUCUACAAAGUUUCAUUCAAUUUGAAGAUCAUUUGAGCUUCCAUAAUCGUGAUUUACACGAAAGGUUCUGCUUUCGGUACCCAAAUGAUCUCAAAAUUAGAUAAAACUUUGUAGACAUGAUAUAAACACAAUAAUCUAGAUAUUGUACGGUGGAGAUGUACAAAUGUGACCUGAAAGUGAGUCAAAUUAGGAGCCCCACACUUUAAUUGUAAAGCGGGGCUCCACUUAGGAAGGGAACUGUAUAUAUAUAUAUAUACAGAUUUUCUCAGGUGCGGAUGUCCGCAUUUAUUCUUACGGUGCAGAUUUCCACUUUACACUCACUUUUCAAUCUAAUUUUCACAUCUUCACCGUCUAGUCUUUAGAUACUAAUGUAUAGAUCAUCUCUGCAAAAUUUCAGCUAAUUUCGUUAUCAUUAAGGCACUCAAACUGAUUAAACCAAUGGAUGAACAUAAUUUUGUCGAACUUGAACCGUUUAUGUUUAUAACAGAAAAACGC